CUCUCCACACAUCAACUAAGUCAGCUUCACAGAUUAUUUGAGCAAAGUCAUGAGAGACGGAGUGGGUUCCAGUAAUAGAACCAGUUUAGAUCAAUAACAGUGUUGAAAUCUCUGCAAAUUAGGAGACGGCCUUGGCGUCUUUUUUCAACUGCUCUCAGGACUUAAAAAAUGUACCUGACCUUUGUUAGGAGUGUAAACAACCACCAGUGUAUACAUAACAUUAUUUAAUUGGCCUACAACAAUUAGAUAUCUGCCCUGAGGGUCUGAAUAUGAAUUAUUUAAGUGGAAAGCAACUGUAUUUUUUAUUGCUGAAAGAACUCCUCUAGUUUUAGAAGUAUGUGCUUGAAAUAUAUGUGGAAAUUCAGCAUGUUUGAUUCUAUGUGCAUGUUUUUUUUAAUAUAUGGGUCUCCUGAGCACAUAGUGCAUCCCCACCCAAGUUACAAACUUCAGACCAUAGCAAAUCCCUUUUAUAAGGACUAUAUAACCUAUUAAAGGGGUAUUCCAGGCCAAAACUUUUUUUAAUAUAUCAACUGGCUCCGGAAAGUUAACUUCAGAAGCUAAUAACUAUUGGAAGGAUUAAGAUUUUUUAAUAGAAGUAAUUUACAAAUCUGUUUGAGUUGCUGUUUUCUGUCUAACUGCUUUCUGAUGACUCACGUCCCGGGAGCUGUUCAGCUCCUAUGGGGAUUUUCUCCCACCAUGCACAGCUCCCGGGACUUGAUAACAUCAUUGAGCAGUUAGACAGAACUUCCAUGUAGGGCCCCCUUUGAACUAAAAUGCAUAAAAUGAAGGAACCCCCCGCCCCAGGCACCUCCCGCACCCCCGUGCUGCGCUGCUGUAGCACGGGCCUUUGCUUUGGCCUACCCAGGGCACUAGAAGUUCUGUGCGGCUUAGCGCUGCCUCAGACCCUGGAUUCCGGUGACCUGAUUACCCUGAACUCACGGCGUAUGCAGAGGAUAAGGAUCUGCUGGCAAAGUGAGGAGCCAACGAUGUCCUGACGUCCAUACUCUGCAGAGAAGGUGUAGCUGGAUGAAGUCCUGGCAUCUGGACCAACAGAGAAGACGUCACUCAGGUAAAUGAGAAAAAUAUAAAAAUUUGGAACAGGGUGUAGAGACUGAACAAAGUCACUGUCGGUGCAGCUUUACUGUGAUCAACGGGGGAGGUGAAGUGUUGGUAAAACCUGUUGGAUCUCCAUCAUUGCUUGGCUCAUGGACAUUAUCAUAAAGUGGACCAGCUUCUAAUUUACCUGAUUUCUCCGUGUAACUUAUGUAUUUUUUAAUACAUUUUUUAUUCUUUACACUACUCAUUUAUUCCCACAAUCAUUAUCACUUCUAUUUUUGUUAUUCAAAUUUUUUCCAUUAUUUUUCGAUUAUUAUCUCGUAUCUCUAUAUUUAUUUCUAUUUUUCAUAUACUAUACUCAUAUGACACCUAUUAUAUAUUAAACUAUGUUUUAU